UUCAACUUUCAAAUUUUCAUAAGUGGAAGCUGAGAAACAAUUCACUGGCCCCUCCUAAUGACUUUUAUGUAAUUUUAUUGGUCACUAAAUUUAUUCUUAGUCAUGAAAACUAGAAGAACCAACUUUUAUUUCUAUAAAGCUAUAUUUGUUGAUAGUACCUAAAAUGCUUUGCUGAAUGUACCUUAAAAGGAGAAAGCUUAGUUGAUUCGUAUAAAAAAUGGUUUGCUGAUUAAGCAAAGUUGUGAACUAGUCAUCUCCUGUCCCUCUCCACCAAAUAAUACUUUUGACAACAAUUUUUGUCUGCUCGAAUUACAUAUCUUUCCUUUUCUUUUUAACUAAUUUUAUAAGUAUCUGUUGGCCAUUCCUUUUGGACUUUGUAGCUAUUGACAACGAGGAAAUGAAUAUGACCCACCAGCUAAUACAAGGAAUUUAGUGAUCACAGAAUGAUUUUUAUAAUUGAAGUAAUUUCACAUUUGGAAAAUUUGGUAAUGAAAUUGUUGAUACAUAAAAAUUUCUGACAUUUUAAAAUUGAAUAUACUGUUAAACAACUUCAUAUAGAAAAUAUCAACUCUGAAAAUUUCAUGUGUUUUGUUUUUGUCAUUAUAAUUUUAUAUUUUAUUUUUCAAUUUAUUUUGUGUUCAGGUAAUUUUAAAAUACAAAUUGUAAGAAAUCCAAUUAUUGGAGUUGACCAAUUGUUGGAGCUGAUAUUCAUUCAGGAAAUGUCUAGAAGAAAGCUUUUGGAACCUUUUAAACUUCUUUCAAAAGAUAUCUUUCGGACCAGUGUAAUAGUUGAUUGAAUAUGUUCACGUUCAAUGGUAAAGAUGUAAACUUUGUUGCAUAAUUGGCUAACAUUUAGAAGGUUGUAUUUAAGUCCUUUAACUAAAAGUACAUUUUUAAUGGUAACUGUGGAAGGAUUUUCCACAAUACCUUCUCCUAAUAUGUUACCUUUUGUGUUGUCUCCAUAGGUGACGCGGCCGCUUUCUUUCUCAUCGAACUUGAUGAACAUAGAAGCAUCUCCCGUCAUGUAUCUUGAACAUCUGCUAUCUAGAAACUAUAAUCUUUUUGUGGAAACAAGAUUUUCUUGUAGGCAAUUAAAUAGGUAAAUUUAGGUCCCCCAACUAGUGGAUCCUUUGGGUUAGUUGAGAUACACUUACGAACCCAUUCCAUUUUACCAUUUGGAACUUCGAAAUUCCUAAUGUGACAUUGAGGCCUAAAGUGUCCCUUAUCACCAAAAUAAUGACAACUAGCUUUAGAUGAAA